rnacentral:miRNA from 1 species
ACGCGUGACCGAUAGAAUUAU